rfam:Capsicum annuum cultivar Zunla-1 chromosome 7, whole genome shotgun sequence
AGAGUUUAGUUACUAUAUCCUAUAAAAUUGGAACGAUGCUCAUAAGAUUAGCAUGACCGAUGCAUAAGGAUGACACACAAUAAUCGAAAAAUGAUUUAAAUUCUC